rnacentral:rRNA from 1 species
UGAUCCUGGCUCAGAACGUACGCUGGCGGCACGCCUAACACAUGCAAGUCGAACGAAGUAGCAAUACUUAGUGGCCGACGGGUGAGUAACAUGUAGGUAUCUGCCCUUUGGCCUGGAAUAACACGAGGAAACUUGUGCUAAUACCGGAUAAGUCUUUACGGAGAAAGCUUUAUGCACCAUUGGAUGAGCCUGCACUUGAUUAGUUUGUUGGUGGGGUAAUGGCCUACCAAGACUGUGAUCAAUAGCUGAUUUGAGAGGAUGAUCAGCCACAUUGGGACUGAGACACGGCCCAAACUCCUACGGGAGGCAGCAGUGGGGAAUCUUGCACAAUGGAGGAAACUCUGAUGCAGCGAUGCCGCGUGAGUGAAGAAGGCCCUUGGGUUGUAAAGCUCUUUCGUCGGGGAAGAAAAUGACUGUACCCGAAUAAGAAGGUCCGGCUAACUUCGUGCCAGCAGCCGCGGUAAUACGAAGGGACCUAGCGUAGUUCGGAAUUACUGGGCUUAAAGAGUUCGUAGGUGGUUGAAAAAGUUAGUGGUGAAAUCCCAGAGCUUAACUCUGGAACUGCCAUUAAAACUUUUCAGCUAGAGUAUGAUAGAGGAAAGCAGAAUUUCUAGUGUAGAGGUGAAAUUCGUAGAUAUUAGAAAGAAUACCAAUUACGAAGGCAGCUUUCUGGAUCAUUACUGACACUGAGGAACGAAAGCAUGGGUAGCGAAGAGGAUUAGAUACCCUCGUAGU